AGCAUCUUCGGAUGUGUAUAAAGUGGCGAACGGCUGAGUAACACGUGGGCAACCUGCCCUUUGCACUGGGAUAGCCUCGGGAAACCGAGGUUAAUACCGGAUACUCCAUAUUUGUCGCAUGGCGAAUAUGGGAAAGCUCCGGCGGCAAAGGAUGGGCCCGCGGCCUGUUAGCUAGUUGGUGGGGUAGUGGCCUACCAAGGCAAUGAUGGGUAGCCGGGUUGAGAGACCGACCGGCCAGAUUGGGACUGAGACACGGCCCAGACUCCUACGGGAGGCAGCAGUGGGGAAUCUUGCACAAUGGGCGAAAGCCUGAUGCAGCGACGCCGCGUGCGGGAUGAAGGCCUUCGGGUUGUAAACCGCUUUCAGCAGGGACGAGG
rnacentral:rRNA from 1 species